GGGGAGGGGCGGCGAGGCGAGGCCUGCGGAGCGGAGGAAGACAAACAUAAAGAUGAAGUGCUUAAUUCAAGGUCACACAAUGUCGGGGAUGGACCUCCAGAUUUCCUUACUGGUGAGACGUGGUCUUGUAACACAGUGGUUAAGAAUGUGACUUUGGAGCCAGCCUGCUAGGGGCUGAAUUCUGACUCAGCCAUUUACUAACUGUGUGACCUUAGGUGGAGUCUCACUCUGUAGCCCAAGCUGGAGUGGUGUGAUCUCGACUCACUGCAACCUCCGCCUCCUGGGCUCAAGUGAUUCUCGUGCCUCAGCCUCCUGAGUAGCUGGGACUACAGGUCACAGAAUUUUCCACACUCCUUGACGGAGGUGCUUAACCCUUAUCCAUCAGCAUUCUCAGACAGCACCUCCGGUUAGGGACAGUAUCUGACCGUCCGACAUCCCUGCAGCCCCCAUGUGUCACACAGACUCAGCCUCAGGUAGAUGGUUUCCGUAGAUGGUGGCUUUCUUUGGACCCUUGACAUCAACCAGUUACUAUUUGACUCUUCUGCAGAACCCCCUGUUGACCCCUGCUUUGAGGUGGCAGAGUUAACACUACUCUUCGUUAUAAGCUCUCGUCUGGGGCAACUCAGAAGAACGGGACCAGAUGUGCAGAGGUAAUGAAUACCAGGGAAUCAGGAAACCACUGGAUCAGUUCUUUGAGCCACAGAACAACACUCAUCCCAGCAGCUGGGAAGCUAUCUGCAAAAGUCCAUCUGCAGAAAGGGCUUCCUGGUCUUGCGUGUGGCUGGGCCAUUUCUCUGGAUGCAGGUUUUUCAUUAUACAGUCUUCUCAAAGAAACACCUGCUCUCAACACCUUCUCGGUGACUCCAUUUCCCCU
rnacentral:antisense_RNA from 1 species